rnacentral:tRNA from 1 species
GCGGGCCUAGCUGAGUGGUUCAAGCGCUGGUUUGUGGUUCCAGAGCAGGCGGGUUCAAUUCCCGUUGUCCGC